AAGCCCCACGUUGGGCUCCACACUGGGUGUGGAGUCUACUUAAAAUAAAAUUAAAUAGAUAAAUAGCUAUAGGGUUAAUGAUGCUGAUUUGGAGCAACAUGGAUUUGCUUUCUGGUUGGGGUUGGCUGUUUGUUAUGCAGAAGAGAAGUGUAGGUGUCUGUGGUGUACUUAAUCCUAAGGCAACGGAGCGCUCCCUCCACGUAGCUCAGUGGGAAGGACAGCCACUCUUGUGUUUUCCUGCUGUAACUUGUGUAUCUGGUAGGAAUAGGCUGGAUUUUAGCCUCAUUCUUCCCCCAGGUAUGGUGGGGGCUCACACUUUCCCUCCUGGCAUCAUAAAGUUGCCCUUCUUGUUUACUCUGUUUUUCUCACAAAGCACCCACUGCGUGGUCAUGGAGCUCUCAUUUCUUUCCCCUUAGCACAAAAAAAUGAGAGAUGGAAGGAAUGCAACAUGGUAGAUGAUUAGGGGCAAUUCUUAUUUGACCCAGAACAGAUGUUACCAUCCGGGGGGGUGGGGAGCAGAACAUCCCCUGACCCAGCUGCCUGUGCCCACCCUCACAAUGCCCACCCGAUCAAUUCUGCUGACCACGCUUUCUGUAACCAGGAAGGAAUGGAGCUGCUCAGCUGCAAAGGCAAAUCUGUCACCAUAGUUCACCUUCUCCAGCUGGGCCCCUCCAAGGCACAGUGAUUAGCCUAAGUGCUCACGAGACAACCGAGGGUGCGGCCAGCGCUUUGUUGGAGGCAAACACAUUGCCACCAGUUUCCUAGGCCUUUGGGGCCAGGGUGAGCCAAGAUAGGCAGAAACUGAAGACGCAUGCCUCUUCAUUUCCCUUGUCACCUGUUAGUCAGAAUUUGUGCUGUUUGUUCAGCAAACUGUGCAGAACUUGCUCUGUUCAGAGACAUAAACCAAAUAUAUGGCAUGAUUUCAAUAGGAAAUUUUGAGAUUUUUUUUUCAAAACUAAUUAUUCACUGAUGCUUUGGUGUGUACUUAUGUGAGAGAGCCAGCAUGUGUUUUGCAUAUUUUGGUAGAAUUUUUAUAUCUUAAAGGACAUAGAAUAUGAGAAACUAGUCUAGCCAAAAAAAAAAAAGAAAAACCAAAACCUGUUUCUUAUUUUCUUAUUAGCACCCAUUUAACAGCUGGGAGCUGGGUACACCCCCAGUUUUGCAUGCCCCAGAUGGGGAGUCAGCAAGCGACCAGAGGGCCUUCAAGUGAUUUCUGUUUUUUUCUCUUUCAGCCAAUCUCCCCAGCAGGCCACAGGCAAUGUGAAGUAUCCAUCAAGCCAACCAACAUUUCCUGACUUCCAGUAUUGCCCUUUUCAGCAAAUGCCAAUUCCAAGUUCCAUUUAAUUAGAAGCUCCAUGGCUCUUUGAAACAUGCUGUUGAGCGCUGACUGUGUGUUCUACUGAAGGAGUAAACACUGACUAUCCAAAGAGAAAAGGAUAUUUUGUUUUUAUAAUAAUCAUAUAUUAUUGUUUAUUGUCUUCUUCUUCCCUUUCUAUGCAACUGUAAAUUAAUGAACAGAGUGGUAUUUGGAAACGGUAAUACAUUUGUCACUGAUUUGUAUACUGUAUACAGCAUUGGGAAAGUGGGUGGGGGCUUUCUAAUAUGAUACCGUCUUUUUAAUAACCAUGACAAAAAUCACGUAAGAAUUAGAAAACAAUGUUACAUUUUUACAUUCCUUCAUAUUAACCUUGUACUAUAACUUCAUUUAUUUUUUCCACUCUUUUACCAUUAUGUUUUGGUUAUUUAUAAUUCAUCAGCCCCAUGACCAAAUAGAUGUCCUUGUAUUUGUUUCCAUGAUUUGGCCAAAUUAUUAAGUUCAUGUAUUUCAGUCAAAUAUUUAUGUAUAUGAAUUGGGCUAUAUCUCUGUGUAUACUGCUUAACUUUAUUUGACAUCAUGCACUUCAGUUCUUUAGUGGCCACUUGGAUAAGCACAGUAAAAGUCCUGCGGGGCCUACCUGACAUUCCCAUUAGGAUUUCUUUCCUGCAUUUAUUUCCCUGCUCUACGUAAGUAGGUCUUGAUUUCUUUAUUUCAUGUCCCAAUCUAUAUGAUAGAGGAGACUCAAAGCCGAUUAUAAUCAUCUCAAAGAUCAUUUCACCAAAGGUUACCCAUUUAAGUCUAGUUUCAUUUUGACAUAGAAACAAAACGUGGGAUAAUGUUUCCUUGGUUGCAAAGUCUUGAUUUUCAUCAUUAAAUACACAGCAGGCCUUUACUUAAUUGUGCUACCAGGACACAUCUUUGUCUUUAAUUCCCUUGAGGAGAAUUUUAUUUUUGUUUAUGUAUACGCAAGCCAUUUGUAAUUCUUGAAAUUCCCAGUCGUUUUCUUUCUGACGGCAGACACAAAUUUAAUGCAUGUUUCAUGUUACCUUUUGGGUGAAGGAUUACAUUUUUUAUUACUUUUCAUUUGAUCAGUAUAUUUGGAAAGGAUGUUUAUCAAAAGCCUAUAUCACUGUUUCCAGAGAGGAAUGAAAUUAAUACUUAGAUGGUGGAACCCCUGCCUGUACCUUUGAGUACAUUCAGUUGGAUGUUUGCUUCAGCUUCUGAUUUAACAUUUAAUUGAUUCAGUUGAAACAUGUUACAUAAUCACCAAAUGUAGAGAAAACCAAAAAAAAAAAAAAAGUGAAAAUAAUGUGUUUUGAUUCAAGCAUACAUGCAUUUAAAACAUCAGGACACUUUAACUUUGGGUUCUCUUGACCUGGGAUUUGGCCAGAAGGAGGCUUAAAGUUAGAAAUUGCUAUUCUUUUAGAAUAGGUUGGGUGGGUUGGGGGGCAAGGGUGUCUAUUUGCAGCAUAGAUAUUUUGAGAAGAAAAUUGUUUUAUAUAAGAGGAAAGCCAUGACCACCUUUCUACCUCAGAUCCAUCUUCAUCCAUUGUGUUGGAAAUAGCUUUAUGCCGCUGCAGUCUGCAAGAUCUAGAGCUUUUAUCGGGCCACAUCAAACCCAAGAAAAGCACCUAUUUAAAGAAAAAAAAAAAAACUUUCCCUGAACUCUGAACUACAAGUUGUAGAUUUGGUGUCUUCCUUGUUCUUACUUUGAAAAAAAUAUGUAUUCAUUUUUUUUCUGCUUGUAGUUGUGUGCAACAAGUCUUCUCUCUGCUAUUAAGGAAAAGCUACAGAAAACACUACAUUGUAACCUUCUAAGUAAUAAUAAAUAAAAAAAAUAUAUCACAGUAACAACAAGGGGAAAUAAGUAUGUAGUUCUUUUGAAAUAUGUGGUAAAGAACUAAUCAUAGACUAUCAUCUACUCUGGUUACAUGUUGUAUUUUUCAUCCUGAAUAAAAGUAAUUUUAACACAAGA